CUGGUGUUGGGCGUGAGCGGGAAUCGAACCCUGGUCGCCAGAUGGCGCUGCAAGCAAGGACACGAGACGGGUGACGAAACUCGGGAUCUCGCGGGCCGCUCCCGCAGCACGAGGACACAGGCGAUGUGGUUGUGGUCGAGGCGUCUGUGCUGUGGUGAAUGCAGGGGUCACACUUCUCAUUUGCAGAUUCGGUGCGGCGGUCGUCGUUUGUCAACCCCAAAGCGACGGACGGCCCCCGGCAACUCCCACCGGCGCUCGCACACACGCACACUCACACACGCACACUCACACGCACUCACUCAUACAUACACUAACACGCUCGCACAUUCACACACGCACACUCACUCACACAUAUACUA